UACGGGGGGGGCAAGCGUUGUUCGGAAUUACUGGGCGUAAAGGGCUCGUAGGUGGCCAACUAAGUCAGACGUGAAAUCCCUCGGCUUAAUCGGGGAACUGCGUCUGAUACUGGAUGGCUUGAGUUUGGGAGAGGGACGCGGAAUUCCAGGUGUAGCGGUGAAAUGCGUAGAUAUCUGGAGGAACACCGGUGGCGAAGGCGGCGUCCUGGACCAACACUGACACUGAUGAGCGAAAGCCAGGGGAGCAAACGGG
rnacentral:rRNA from 1 species